rnacentral:rRNA from 1 species
GUGCUCCCCCGCCAAUUCCUUUAAGUUUCAAUCUUGCGAUCGUACUCCCCAGGCGGCAGGCUUAACAGCUUCCCUGCGGCACUAGAACGGCACGUGGCCGUCCAAACACCUAGCCUGCAUCGUUUACAGCUGGGACUACCCGGGUAUCUAAUCCGGUUCGCUCCCCCAGCUUUCAUCCCUCACCGUCGGGCGCGUUCUAGCAGACAGCCUUCGCCACUGGUGGUCUUCCCGGGAUUAUAGGAUUUCACCCCUACCCCGAAAAUACCGUCUGCCUCUCUCGUCCCCUAGCCAAGCAGUAUCCCCCGCGAUCCAACGAUUAAUUCGGUGGAUUUAACAAGGGACUAACUUAGCCAGCUACGGAUGCUUUAGGCCCAAUAAACAUCCACACCACUCGGAGAGCUGGUAUUACCGCGGCGGCUGACACCAGACUUGCCCUCUCCUUAUUCCCCCAGCUUUCUAGACUGGGUAAAAGCCUUCCUCAGCGGAUGGCACUCGGGAUAGCCCUGUCACACUUUCGCGUAUUGCAAAGUUUUCGCGACUGCUGCGCCCCGUAGGGCCUGGGCCCUUGUCUCAGUGCCCAUCUCCGGGCUCCCGCUCUCACGGCCCGCACCGGUAAAAGGCUUGUGAGCCAUUACCUCACCAACAACCUGAUCGGUCGCGGCUCAUCCUUAGCGGUUCAACGAGCAUAACGCGACUAUUUAGUGAGACUCAUUCAGAGUUCUUCGCUAUCGAGAGUUAGCCCAGUUUCCCCGGGUUGUUCCUCGUUCUUACGCAGAUUAGCCACGUGUACUGAUCGU